GGAGCAAGCUUACUUUUAUGGUAGCCCUUUGCAUAUGGCCAUAAGCUCACAGCGUGCAGUUUGAAUUACAGAAUGGAAUGUAAUACGUAAGGGGUUUGUCUUAUUGUGACCAAAGACAGAUCUGACCAAUUAGAUUCUUAAGGGGUAUGGACCAUCAUACGUAGAGUAAAGGGAUGGCCCGUGUGACGUCUUUGCAUCUACAAAAACUCAGGUCUUCCUAUACUGAGUGUGACUCUCACUUGAGA